rnacentral:misc_RNA from 1 species
CUCUCUACUUCUUUCUCUCUCACUCCCUCUUUCCUUCUUUCUCGAUAUUCUUCCUCUGUUGUUCUCCCUUUCUCUUUCUUCUUAUUCUGCAGGUUUACGGUCUUAGAAACUCUGCUACAUAACAAUUGGUAUCAGAGUUCCAUUCGACGAUGGGCUUUGCUUCCAAAUGAAUUGUUGGAGUCCCAAACAAGUCCAGAUCAGGGGCUAUCUUCCCAAAUUCCAGGUUUCUUUCUUCUUCAAUUCUUCUUCUUCUUCCGUUUCCUUCUUCCUUUCUUCUUUCUCAUUCUUUCUCGUUCUUCUUUCUUGAAAUUCUCUUCUUCCUUCCUUCCUUUCAUUCUUUCCUGAGAUUCAUAUUUCUUUCUCUUUAUAUUUCUUUCUUCCUUUUCUAAUUCUCUGCAAUAUCUUCUUUCUCUUUUCCUUAAUUUCUCUCUUUUCCUAAGAACCCUGAAAUUAGGGUGGGGUUUCCUCCUUGAAUCUCCUCUGUUUCAGGUCUAUUUCAAAUCCUUUCAUUUUUCAACUCUUUUACCCAAUUUUCUUGGAAAUAAAUCUUUCCUUUUGUCAUAAUCCACACCAAGCCCUUUUACUAUUAGGCCAUGGAAAUAGAACCUUGGCAACAACAUAUUAUUCUGGGUCUAAUUGAACGUUUGCAGAGAAACAUUAAAAGAAAAUUGAGUUUUUGGAAAAAUGGGAUCGGAGAUGGGAAAUGUUGUCGAAGCCAAUUCAAGACCAUGUAAUUGAGAAUUCUUAGAAUAACAGCAAUUAAAUGUGAUUGCCGAUUCAAAACAGAUAGACACAGGAUUUUCAUGUUAAAGAGAUUGAUAUUAUUUGUGAUGGAGAGGAGAUUAUAAAGGAAUUUCAACCUGAAAAUUCAGAGAAGAUUGUUCAGAAAUUUCAACCUGAAGAUUCAGUCCAGAAAAGUUUUGAAGAUGAAAUUAGUAGUGCAAAGGGUGAGAAUAAUUCGGGUUUUGAGAAUGGGAGCAAUGGAGGUGAAUUGGGAUUGCCAAUUCGAGGAAAGUCCGUUGUAGGCCAAGCAGGAAAAACAGAUCUCUGGCAAUCAAAAAUAGACUUCUGUAGAGUAUUGGACGAAGCAUCUAUUGAUGGAUCAGUGCUAUAUUACAACUGUGGUAACUAUUCUAAUAAACAUGAAUUUUUGAUUGACAUGAGUGUGGACAUUGAAGAUGUGGUAACCAUUCAAGAUGCUUUAUAAUCUCCCACCAAGGUGGAGGAAGUGUCUAAGGCAUAGCAAUUUAUGAUAGACCAGGCUCUUACAAUUGCUACUUUGCAUUUAAAGAGAU